rnacentral:tRNA from 1 species
CAAAUUAGAGCUUGUUAAAGUAUUUCAUUUACAUUGAAAAGAAAUUAUUAAUUAAUUUGA